GACGAACGCUGGCGGCGUGCUUAACACAUGCAAGUCGAACGGAAAGGCCCUGCUUUUGUGGGGUGCUCGAGUGGCGAACGGGUGAGUAACACGUGAGUAACCUGCCCUUGACUUUGGGAUAACUUAAGGAAACUGGGGCUAAUACCGGAUAGGAGCUCCUGCUGCAUGGUGGGGGUUGGAAAGUUUCGGUGGUUGGGGAUGGACUCGCGGCUUAUCAGCUUGUUGGUGGGGUAGUGGCUUACCAAGGCUUUGACGGGUAGCCGGCCUGAGAGGGUGAGCUGCCACAUUGGGACUGAGAUACGGCCCAGACUCCUACGGGAGGCAGCAGUGGGGAAUAUUGCACAAUGGGCGGAAGCCUGAUGCAGCAACGCCGCGUGCGGGAUGACGGCCUUCGGGUUGUAAACCGCUUUCGCCUGUGACGAAGCGUGAGUGACGGUAAUGGGUAAAGAAGCACCGGCUAACUACGUG
rnacentral:rRNA from 1 species